rnacentral:rRNA from 1 species
UACGAGGGGGGCAAGCGUUGUUCGGAAUUACUGGGCGUAAAGAGUGUGUAGGCGGUGCUCUAAGUUUGGUGUGAAAUCUCCCGGCUCAACUGGGAGGGUGCGCCGAAAACUGGAAUGCUUGAACGUGGGAGAGGAAAGCGGAAUUCCUGGUGUAGCGGUGAAAUGCGUAGAUAUCAGGAGGAACACCUGCGGUGUAGACGGCUUUCUGGACCAUUGUUGACGCUGAGACACGAAAGCGUGGGUAGCAAACAGG